UUAGGGCACCUAGAAAGAUGAAGAACUGCACAUUCUUCAGCUAAUUGCCAGGAUAUAUCUCUUCUCAGUGAAGCUUUUGAUAAAAGCAGAUCAGACUGUUUGAUGCUACCUUCUCUCAGAAGGCUCUGGAAUACAGGUGCCAAGAAGAGACAGAAGGCAUCUGAAGGGCUUUCUGUCUGCAUGGAGUCAAGGCAGGGUCUUUGAACCUACGCCUUCUAAACCAAGGAAGUAAUGCUGAUCAAACAAAGUUCCCCCAGAGGAAGGGGAGAGCCAACAAUAGCAGGCUGGUGAGGAAGAUGUCUGGAGCAGGUGGGGCCUCACACUUGCCAUGAAAUCAUGUAAGUAGGGUCACCUCCUUUGCCUCCUUGUGCAGCCGGGUCUGUUACCAGAUUAGGAUCUCAGGGCUGCUGUCUUCCCUGUGCUUGGGAGGCAUCAUGACAGAGCCUGGGGUGAGAAAGGACUGAUAUCCAGGUUGCAGGGAUUGAAAGUGGCAGAGCUGGAAUUCUAUCGCAGUCCCUUGACUCUAAGAUGAAUAGUCCCAGCACACCACAGCCACGCCUUUGGCAGAUUCACCAUGCAGCAGGGAAGGCCCAACUGCACGGAGGGAGACUGAAGCCUGGGAGCCUGGCUGAGAGGAAGUGAGAGAUGUGCCCUUCACCUUCAUUCAUCAAAUCACUGCUGCAAAUAAAGCGACCUCGAACACAAGGCAAUCCUCCAUCUUCCCAAUGAGAAGAUCCCAAAAGGUCUGACCCAGUAUAGACAAUGACUGAAGGUGAUGGAAGGAGAUGCAUUUUGAAGCAAAUAUAAAGAGGAGCAAGACAACAUGGUAAUUACCAGUCUGUAAUUUCCUGCCAGGAAAAGCUAAAUCUUCUUCAAAACGAAUAUAAUAUUUCAUUGACAUAGAAAAAAUGAACAUAAUGAAAACAAUCUUCCUUUGAAGACAAGAAUAAACAAUGUCACUCGCUGUAAUCACUUCCAUCUCAGCUGCUGUCUGUCACCAAAGGACAUCUCCACUCAACUGUUUAAAGCAUCAAACACCAAUGCCCAACCAGAACUCUGGAUUUUCUUUCCUGUACCUGCUCUUCCCCCCAUCUUCUCCCUCAGCAAGUGACUCUAUCAACCAGCUAAUUGCUUGAACCAAAAAUCUAGGAGUCAUCUUUGAUUUCCUCAUCUGUUCUCUGUACCAAUUCCAGGUCAAGAAACCAAGAAAUCUCAAUUCAUCUACUUCUAAAAACAGUAGGCAGAGGGACCUUUGAAAAAUACAAACUCUAACUCCCUGCCAUGACCCAUGAAGCCCCAUGAAACCCUGAUCUGGCCUCUGCCUCACUCUCCCAUCUCGCCUCCCACCUUGGCCCCUUUCUCCCUCUGCCCCAGCCACACUUGGAGCCUCUGCACUUAUCCUUCAUGUCCCUGGACUCCUUUCUGCCCAGGCCUUUGCACACCUGGCUCCUUCUGGUCACUCAGGUCUUGGCUCAUAUGUCCCCUGUGCAGAGAGGCCUGUUCUGAUCACCCACCCUAUGCUGGGGUAGAUGCCACCCACGGAGUGACAGCUGGGCUGGAGCCGUUUGGACGCCUGCCCCAGAGGUCAGAUUGGGAGGGUGAUGGGUUUCAGCAGAGGGAGUCUGUGUGGGGUGGACCACUGGAGCUCAGGGCAGAGCAGGGAAUGGUCACCGUAUCACCCCGUCAUAGGAGUUACAGCCGGAGAGGUCCAGCAGGGGAGUUUAUGAGAAUACAAAAAAAUGUCCAGGCAAAAAACCAAAGAAGCAAAUACACAAGAAUGUUAAGUAUCACAGGACCCUGAGAACUGGCAGCAAGCAUUUAACUGUCAAUGAGAACUCUUGGCUCCAGUUCUCUCAUCCUCUGGCAAACUCCAAAUUAGAGGAAAGAGAGGAAGUGAGCAAAGAAGGAUUAGGAACGAUCACGCCUCCUUCCCGACAGCAGAUUGUCCAGCUCCUAUGGUCCCUAACAAGGGACAGGGGAGGAGAAUGACAUGCUGGGUGAUUUCCAGGACUUGCCAUUCUAAUUUCUGAAUUGAGACCACGUUUAUGACUUUCAGUAACUGCACGGAUUUCUGUUAACCACGAGUGUCUAGAAACAUCCUAGGGAUGCUGGAGAUGGCAGGGGGAAACUUCCCUUUUAGAAUAUAUUCUAAUGGUACAGUUAGAGACAAAAAUAAAAUUUAUUGCGAUCAUGUCCCAUGAGCUGUGCUUG